CUCAGGACGAACGCUGGCGGCGUGCCUAAUACAUGCAAGUUGAGCGCUGAAGGUUGGUACUUGUACCAACUGGAUGAGCAGCGAACGGGUGAGUAACGCGUGGGGAAUCUGCCUUUGAGCGGGGGACAACAUUUGGAAACGAAUGCUAAUACCGCAUAAAAACUUUAAACACAAGUUUUAAGUUUGAAAGAUGCAAUUGCAUCACUCAAAGAUGAUCCCGCGUUGUAUUAGCUAGUUGGUGAGGUAAAGGCUCACCAAGGCGAUGAUACAUAGCCGACCUGAGAGGGUGAUCGGCCACAUUGGGACUGAGACACGGCCCAAACUCCUACGGGAGGCAGCAGUAGGGAAUCUUCGGCAAUGGACGAAAGUCUGACCGAGCAACGCCGCGUGAGUGAAGAAGGUUUUCGGAUCGUAAAACUCUGUUGGUAGAGAAGAACGUUGGUGAGAGUGGAAAGCUCAUCAAGUGACGGUAACUACCCAGAAAGGGACGGCUAACUAC
rnacentral:rRNA from 1 species